rnacentral:rRNA from 1 species
CCUACGGGAGGCAGCAGUGAGGAAUAUUGGUCAAUGGCCGGGAGGCUGAACCAGCCAAGUCGCGUGAGGGAAGACGGCCCUACGGGUUGUAAACCUCUUUUGUCAGGGAGCAAGGUGCAGGUCGGGACCAGCUGUGAGAGUACCUGAAGAAAAAGCACCGGCUAACUCCGUGCCAGCAGCCGCGGUAAUACGGAGGAUGCGAGCGUUAUCCGGAUUUAUUGGGCUGAAAGGGUGCGAAGGCGGGGGCACAAGUCAGCGGUAAAAUCGCGGGGCUCAACCCCGCCCCGCCGUUGAAACUGUGUGCCUUGAGUGCGCGACGGGUAGGCGGAAUGCGUGGUGUAGCGGUGAAAUGCAUAGAUAUCACGCAGAACUCCGAUCGCGAAGGCAGCCUACCGGCGCGCAACUGACGCUGAUGCACGAAAGCGUGGGUAUCGAACAGGAUUAGAUACCCUUGUAGUC